CCUACGGGAGGCAGCAGUGGGGAAUAUUGCACAAUGGGCGAAAGCCUGAUGCAGCGACGCCGCGUGGGGGAUGACGGUCUUCGGAUUGUAAACCCCUUUCAGUAGGGACGAAGCGCAAGUGACGGUACGUGGAGAAGAAGCACCGGCUAACUGCGUGCCAGCAGCCGCGGUAAU
rnacentral:rRNA from 1 species